CAAGCAGCUACUUCCCCCUCUACAAAAUCGAUCAGAGAGGAAUGGGAGUGAGAGAUGGGAAAUGGAUGAGGAAAUUUGGCAGUGUGGUUUGGAGGAUAUUGAUAAACAAUCGAGGUGCGCCUCAGCAGCAGAUCUUCAAGAAACACAACAUAACUGGGACCCCGUGAAUCAUUGUGCUUGGAGACAUCUUGACUACUGGGCACUGGAUGCUGAGCAUUGAAGGCGAGGUUGUGUGUGAGGGCACUCAGCCCACCUUCCUGUCUGGCCUUGCUAUACUAUUUGCAGAGUACUACCUAUUCAACCUUGAGUACCACGACGAGGUUGUGUGUACAUUGGAGUUUAUUCAAAGGCACUUUGAAGGCAUUAACCCUGAGGGACAAAGAAGUCAAAAGGAAAAGUGACUUCUAAAACCACUGGGUGACUUGUACAGAAGAAACAGGUUGCAGUGGAUCCAAAUGUCUCCACUAAACUCUGCAAACUGAUGGACUACCAGUGGAAUUUCUGAAAUUCCACUCCUUGGACCCUCUGAUGGAUCAGGACAUGAAACUGGAUUUGAAACUGUUUUAUGAUGACCAUGUUGAUCAACUUAUGUUUAUAUUUCUGUAUUGUUUCAAUUGCCAUGUUGGCAAAUAUGGUUGUGCAAAUAUAAGCUGUGAAGUGAAUAAAAA